rnacentral:lncRNA from 1 species
UCUGUGUCUCAAUGUUUCUUGGUCUGCCAAGUUGGGGUUAGGCAACUUCACUUCUUAAAUUUCAUUCAGAGUUUUAAUGCAUAGGCGUGAUCCACGCACACGUAUAAAGAAACACAAAUACACCCAUGUAAAUAACCACACACAAACAUAUGCCCAGGUGCACGUGUAAACACACCUGCACAUGCAUCUUUAUGCAUACAAAAACGUGUCCUCUGUCAUCACCAUCCACUGCUAUUGACUGUGUUUAUAUCACCUUCUAGCAUCAUUUUUAGCAGGACUCAGCCUAGGAGUAAGACAAGCUGAUGGGGCCCUGCCAGAGUGCCCAGUAGGUACCCAGAUGUAGGAGUGAGGAUGGUGAGCAUCAGAGGGAACCUGGGGGAGAGGAGUUCAGCAUGCCUGGGGAUGCACAGGCCCUUCCCAUCCUCCCUCAGUAAAAUUGUCACAUUUACUCUCAGAAGGGGGCAGUCAAAACAUCUAGAAGUCCUGGGUCCUGGCUCCAGCUCUUCCACGGCCUGACUCUGUGACGUUGCACAAAUCACUUUUCUUCCUGGAGCCUUAGUUUCUGACUCUCUAAAAUGAGACGACAGAGACUUCCAGUUCUAGCCAAGAUGGAGUAAACUCACUGUGUCCUAUCUCCCCUCCUGAUUGUAACUAAAGUGUGUAAGCUGAAUGCAAAGUGCAACUACCUGAAAUCUCCAAAAACCUUUAAACCUUUGCAGGUUGACUGAGGAAGGAAGUGGGAAUUUGAGGAGUGAGCAGUAUGGCAGUGAGAUGUUUUUUCCACCUUUAUCUCCCAGGAUUGGCCAGGCAGAGAAGAGCACAUCAGCAGUCUCCUGCCCCCAGGAGUGAGCAUGAAGCUGGAUCCAACACCCCAUCCAUCCUGAGGUCUAGAGGCAUUAAUGGAAGCACGAGCAUGUUCUGGAUGGUUUUGGAGAGAAGAGCAACCUUCCCUACACAUGAUUGCUUAGAUGAGCCUCCAAACGCUGGCAUGUUCUGAAGAAGGAAGCGGAGAGGCGCGGGCGUUGCAGAGGGAGCCUUGAGCUGAGCUGGGCUGGGAGUCAUUAAAGGAGGCGGCUGUCCCCGGGGCCCCAGACGGCGUCUCAUCAAGAUGCCCUGGAACUCGCCCAGCUUUGCUUCAGAUGUUCCAAGCUCAUUUUGGUAUGUGCAUUUACAUCUUCUCUGCCUUCCUCGGGGGGAACGUUCUUUAAAGGAAGGGGAUGGUGAAUUAGAAGUUUCAGAGCUCAGCUUGCUAACACACCUCUAGAGGAAAUCAUGGGGCAGAAUGACAGGAUCCUUCCCUGGGGUUCAAGUGCAAGAGAACAACUUCCUGUCCUCCCCACUCUCCACCCCCAACACCUGGGCGGCAUACACAUGCACAUGGUGGAUGUAAGGCAAAUUGCCGAAGCAUGCCAGACCUGUUUGCUUAUCUGUCAAAGGGGAAGAGUGAUGUCCACCUGCCAGCC